UACGGGGGGGGCAAGCGUUGUUCGGAAUUACUGGGCGUAAAGGGUGCGUAGGCGGCGCUACAAGUCGGGUGUGAAAUCCCUCAGCUUAACUGAGGAACUGCGCCCGAAACUGUAGUGCUGGAGUGAGGCAGGGGUGAGCGGAACUGAUGGUGGAGCGGUGAAAUGUGUUGAUAUCAUCAGGAACACCGGUGGCGAAGGCGGCUCACUGGGCCUUUACUGACGCUGAGGCACGAAAGCUAGGGGAGCAAACGGG
rnacentral:rRNA from 1 species